rnacentral:lncRNA from 1 species
GCCCGCACGCACGGCGGCCCGCGCAGCGCGGAGGGCGGCCGCGCGCACCUGCCCGGCACCCGGAGCUGCGGCGGCGGGCGGUGACCCGGCGACGGCGCUGUGCGGGUGCCAGCCCGGAGCCCGAGGGAGGCUCCGGACGGGCCGGGUGGGUGGUUAUAUGUCAGAGGGAAACCAAGGUUGCUAAUCAGCUGAAACAGGGGGUCACUGUGCUUUUUCCAAUGUGAUCAAAGGCUCGUGCGUGAGGCGCCUCCUGUGUGCCGAGAUGAAAGCAGCCCGGUCCCGACCCUGAGGCUCGGCCUCCUCGGGGAGAGGAGGAUGUUCCUGGUGCCCAGGUGCCGCCGCUGGGCGCCGGGACCGUCCACACUGCAGGUGCGCUCGGCGGCCUGCGGUGUGUCGCCCUGCGCCCUGCGCCGCAGACUUGGGGAAGUGCGGCCGAGGAAGCGACGUGGAGAGCCACUGGCCUCGUGGCAAAGGGCCUCUGGUUCAGGCUAGAGGGACAGGGACGCUGUGAGCAAGUGACUGCCCUGGUGCUGCCGAGCCGGCCUCCGCGAGCCUGUGGGGAGGCAGGAAGAACCCCAGGGGUAUUGGGUUGGAACUAGAGGUGUCAACGUGAAGUCGAGAAUUAAAAAAAAAAUCUCUUCCCCAGCUUUGCUGGAAAGACCUCAGGUAGUGACAUUACAGAACUCCUCUGGAGCCAUGGUCGGAUCAUUUCUGAGUAACCCCCCACCCAGAGGAGCCAGGGGUUUUUGGAGAAAGGCCAGUUCCAGGGCUGGGCAAGGAAAGUACAAGAUGAGCCUACAACAUCUUGCUGACCUAAGAGAGAAGUCAGUGUUCAAAAAGAUAGGAGUCGGUCAAAAGUUCACAGGACACAGUUGAAAGAGCUCCCGCAGGCCAAUUCUGGAACCGUUGAGCAUGCUGGACAAAAGUGGGAACAACUGAAAUUUCCGUCAGGAGUAGAAUGGGGAACUUGUGGUGCGGUGUAAUCCUACAGUGGAUGACUGGCCCCAGGGCACCAGAGAAGAAUUCCUUGGUAUAUGAAACAACAGGCAAAUCUCACAGUCAAAAUGACAAAUAAACCAAACACAAAAGACAUAUGUUGUAGGAUUUGAUUUAUAUGCAGUUCAAGGACAAGCAAGACCAUCUAUAGUGACAGAAGUCAGAAUAGUACUUACUUGGGACACCAGGGGACCCUCCAGAGUGGAGGAAACACCCUCUGUCUUUACCUGAUAGUACAGACAGAAGGACAGACAUGGACACGGGUGCAGGCCCACUUCAUGGGUGUGCACAGGGUCCUGUGCUCAGAAGGGCCCCACACUUGAGUGAGUUCCUGAUGCCCACUCUUCUGUCCUCUAAGAGUUCCAGCCUCCCUCAGCCUCUGCCCCACCCCCACCCAAUGACUACCAGGUUCUGGGCACAGCCAGGAAGAGGGUCAGGAUGGACACUCACGUCAGUGUCACGAAAGACCCCUUCCGCACACACACACAAAAAAAAGACUGAAAGAACUGUUCUUUUAGAUAAAGGAGAUGAGAGAGAUUUGAUGGCUAAAUACAACACGGGAUUCUGGAUUGAACUCUGCAUCAUUAAAGAAAGCCAGAGAAGACAUCCCUGAGACAAUCUGCAAUGUUUGAACGAUAUUGGACGAUAAUGUGGUAGUGACUGUAAGUUUCCUGAAUUUGAAAACGGUACUGUGAUUGUGUGAAAGAACCUGCUUUGGUUUAUAUGGCUCACGCUGAGGCAUUCGAGGGUGAAGAACUAUGUCUGCAACUUGUUUUCAGAUGAUUUUACCAAAAACACCACACCAGCAUAACACUACCGCAAACGCACAGUAUGUACCCACCAGGAGAGAAAACGUGGCAGGAGCCACUGUAGGUGCGUGUAGGUGACGGUGCAUGCUUAUUCGUUUCCAUUGCUGCCAUGACAGAGAGUCACAGGCUCAGGCCUACAGGUCGCUCGCUGGACUGAAAUGAAGGAGGGGACCAAGCUGUGUCCCUUUCCAGAGCCUCCAGCUCUGGGAAAUCUGUUUCCCCACUUUCUCCAGCUCUUCUGUUUGCUUUUGGCUCUUUCUAGAGGGACCCACGACCUUCAGCUCAUGGUCCUGAUCCAUCUUUAGACUCAGCAUGGCUAGGGAAGCCUUCCUCACAACGUAUCCCUCUGACAUGGACUCUUCUGCCUCCUUCUUCCACUUUUACGGACCCUUUGAUUACAUUGGAAAAAUCACAGUGAUCCCCCUGUUUCAGCUGAUUAGCAACCUUAGUUUCCCUCUGACAUAUAACAUAGUCACAGGUUCUGGGGAUCAAACAUGGACAUCUUGCUGGGCGCAAUGGGACAUGCCUGUGAUCCCAGCCACUCUGGAGGGAGGCUGCAGCAAGAGGAUCACAAGCUUGAGGCCCGCCUGGGCAACUUAGUGAGACUCUAUGUCAAAAUUUAAAGUGCUGGGGAUGUAGCUUGGUGGUAGAGCACCCUGGGUUUAAUCCGAAAAACCAAAAAAUAAGUGGACAUUUUGGAGAGUCAUGAUCCUACCACCACAAUUGUAGCAAGCUUUUCAAUAAGUUCAUUUUUCCCCCCAGAAGAAAAAACUUGUAACAUAGAAAAUCCCUAGAAAUCUGCAAAAAGGCCACUAAAGCCUGUGAGUUUAGCAAGCUGGUAGGAUACAAAGGCCAAGAAACAAACUGAGACAAUUGGAAGUUAAAUUUUUCAAUGGCAUCAAAAAAACAGGAAGUACUUAGAACAAAUCUAAGAAAAUCUAAGCAAGGUUUUUAUACCAUAAGCUACAACACAUUGAUGAGAGAAAUUAAAGAAACAGGGGUGUACCAGGUUUGUGGACUGGGAGCCCCAACAUUGUUAGGAAGCCCCUCCCCUGAACCGCAGUCAGAGUCAGAAAAACCCCAGCACAAAACCUCACUGGACCCAGAAAUUGAUGGGCUGGUUCUAAAAUUUGGAAAUGCAAAGAGCCUAGAAGACUCAAAAGAAUUCUAAGAACAGAACUUGGAGGGUUCGAACCUCCUGACUUUAAGGCUCAUUCAAAAGCUCCUUAACUCACAGCUGUAAAAUAGGGACUGUGUGGCAUCCACGUCCUAUAGAAAUGCAGGUAAGUGGAGUCCAUUAGCAGUCCCGGGAAUAGAAGCAAGCCUGAGGUCAAGCGCUGUCUUAAAGAAACCCCCAAAGAGCAGAAUGAAAAAGGUCCACCAGCGCCGGCUUCCAUUUCAGAUGAACACCCUGUCCCCAGGUGUGUGAGAGUCUGCAAGGUCCUUGGUCUCCCGCGCGGUCUCAGAGGCCGCCCAGAGACUGGCCCGCGGGUCGCUGUCCGAGGUGCUGAAUGCUCGCGGCCGCGGCUGAUCUCCUGCCCUCCCAUAGGCCCUGGGUAAACUCACUCUGGGGACCCUGGGUUUGCUUUGUCUACGUUCUGUCUUGAGGCACAUUCUCCUGUUUGUGUGCACUGUUAGGUUUUUUAAGGUUAAUUACUUGUUGGUUAUGAAAAUGUCAAACAUACACAAAACCAGAAUGGUGUCGUGACUCACCUGUCCCUAUCACCCUAUGUCCACAAUCAUCCAGCCCUGUUACAUCCCCGACCACCACUAAACACAUGCACAGUAUCCUGAAACUAACCAGAUGUGUCUUAUCAUGUAACUCAUAAAUGCCUGGUUGAUGGGUCGCUAAGAGACAAGAACUCAAACCACAUUCCCAGGGGUCAGCCACUGAAAGGCAGCGGUGCCCUUUAACCUGGCUGAACACCAGCUGCUGUCGCGAUCCCAUCUGCAGUUGGGAUGCGAGUCCUGGGGGCUGAGACACUGCUGGGGGGCCUAAUCCAGCCAUGGUAGUGCGAGGACAGAGGUCACCCCAACUGCAGCUCUGUUGCUACAGAGGACAUUGUGCAAGUCUGGAACCCAAGAUGCUGACUCAGGUGGCCACACCCACGUGGUGGCCCCUGAAAACACUAGUGUCCAGGGACUACAGGAUUCAGGCACACUCCCGCCAGGGCAGGUCUAGGUGAAGACUAAUUGCUUCAGAAUCUCUGUAGAAGAACCCGAGCGUGUUCCUGCCCAGCAUUCUACUGUCCUGUCAGGGCACAGCCACAGCUGGCCUGGCUGGCUGUGUGGCCCACAGUUCUCUAACCCCAGGGGGUUACCCCAAUCUACCGUGCACCUACAGUCCCCCCAGGAAUGGUUUUCCUGCCAGCCCAGCCCUAGCGUCCAUGAAGACCGAGGCCAGAGGCCAGCUCCUGAAGUCCUCUCUCCCCCUCUUGGCACAGGGACAUGGAUCAACUGUGUUGGGGCUCGGGUGUAGCUGGAGGUGCCUCAGAAAGCAGCUCAUCUUAAAGACAAGAGGCUGAUCAAGGAGGGACUUGCUCAGUGUCUCGGUCGGAGCAGGUCGCCGUGCAGCUGUGGUGGCCUGGGAGCUUCCUGCUGCCCGAGCACAGUCUUGGUGCUGCCAGCCUGCCGCCUUCCCUCCUGAGCGUGGUCUCCCUCCCCGGGAGAAGCAGUGCUGACCUCCCAGGCUUGCUCUGAGAAUCAAGAGGCUGCUGGGCUCCACAGGCUUGAGGGGUGUCCCCUUGGGGUGAGGUUCCCUGUUGCCUCCACGGAGGUGGCAAAGGAGCAGGGGGUCCCUGGGGCAGGCGUCUGCCUUGGGUGUCAGGAGACAUCCACCAGAUGGCCCUCAUCUUCAGCACUCAGCUUGGCGGGGAGGCUGGACGCCAGCCCGGGAGGUGGCCCAGGACUGGAAGCCACAGCUGCCUGCAGGCUGCAGAGGCCCCUGGUGGGCUAGUGGGGGAAGAGGGAGGCCAUGACCUCUGCACACCUGCAGGAGGCCAUGGCUCGGGGCCAGAGGGGGCUCCAGCACCCACAGACGGGUCCCUCACAGCUCCCUGCUCCUCAUCCAGCACCCCCCCAGGCUGCCGUGAGGCUGAGGGGAAGCCGGGGGCGGUGCCUCCAUGUCCCCCGGGGCCUUUCUGGGCACUGACUCUAUGUUUGACAGGGACUGUGAAGAGCAUUCAAUUGUUUCAAGUAAAUACCCUGAGGAGCGUGGACACCGGUCCAUUUACACAGGGCAAUGGCUCUGAGAGGUGAGGGCUUCCCUGGUCACAUCCAUGCCAGUCGCAGAGAUGGGACUCAAAGCCCAGUAGGACUGAAUGCAGAGCCCAGGAUGUGUCCUCUGCUCUGGAGCAUCUCAGGGUCCCGUGUAGGGUGAGCACAGGUAACUCCGGGAGCACAGGGCAGGGGAUGCUGACUCAGAUCAGCUCUGGGGCUGUGAGUGCCGCCACCCCAGGCCAAGGAAGGCACAGCCAUCUGAUGCACCCACUGCAGGGAGGCUUGGUCAAACUCAUUCAUCCUGAGGCUACAUUAAUAGAGACAGUGAGGGGAGGUGGGAGGUGAGAGUCAAUUUAGAUCCAGUGCUGGUCCUACCAUCCUGGGUGCUGCUGGACCCCUUGUUCUCAGAGGGACGUGGACAAACCAGGACUGAGGGGCUGCAGGG